GUAAAAGUCGUAACAAGGUUUCCGUAGAGUAAAAGUCGUAACAAGGUUUCCGUAGGUGAACCUGCGGAAGGAUCAUUAUCGUAUCUCUGACGUGGCGGGUCGGCCCUGCUCGGGUUCCGAAAGGGCCUUUGCAGCGGGUCGCCCGUCGCGCUCAACCUUCACAAACCCCUGUGCACCUUUACGGCGGAGGGUGGUGGCGAGAGCCCCGUCCGAUGCCGCAUAACACAAACACUUGUAUAAAAAAGAAUGAUCAGUGGCCUCUGUGCCGCCUAAAAAAACAUAACAACUUUCAACAACGGAUCUCUUGGCUCUCGCAUCGAUGAAGAACGCAGCGAAAUGCGAUAAGUAAUGUGAAUUGCAGAAUUCAGUGAAUCAUCGAAUCUUUGAACGCACCUUGCGCUCCUUGGUAUUCCGAGGAGCAUGCCUGUUUGAGUGUCUUGAAGUCAUCAACCCCUACCGUUUCGUGCGGUCUGCGUGUUGGAGCUGGGGGCUUGCUGCCGAGAGGUGGCUCCCCUCAAAUGCAUCGGUUGGGCCUGUGGGUCGAACUCGAUUGGGCGUUGUAUUAUCCUCGCUUUAACGAGAUGUUCCCCUCUUUUGUGCCCCUCCACGACCUGCCUUUAUGAGUGGCGGUCAAGCAAACUGAAAUUCUGACCUCAAAUCA
rnacentral:rRNA from 1 species